rnacentral:tRNA from 1 species
UGUAGCUCAGUUGGUAGAGUAUUUGCCUUGCAUGCCCAAGGCCCUGGGUUCAAUCCCCAGCA